GGAAAAAAACAAGAAGACUGGCAACAGAUGUUAGCUCAGGUGCCAAGCUUUAAAAACAAAAUGAAGUAGGUUAGAGCAAAUCAGUAUUUGCUAAUUGGUUGCUCGAAGUUAACAAAUUGAAAUAAAUUUGUGACUGUUUAAAGAUUUGAAACAAUGACAACAACAUAAACUAAAAAUAAACACCCUAGCCUGCCAUCUGGAAUAAUCAGAAACUGAAGAUUCUUUGAUCUAAUAAAUGUGUGCCGCUGAACUCACUAUCAAGCAUUUGAGGCUUUGCUAUUAUCAUAUGUCAGGAAGAUUUAAAAAUCUCUAUAAAGCAUAUGAACAACUACAUAAUAAAUAUCACUUAUGUUGUAUUUUUUAUAUAUAAAGAAAAAAGCCUUUAAAACUGGGAAUUUGCAUGCACAAAAGAGAGAAAAUGAGCUGAUUCUAUCGUUUUUUUUUUUUCUUUUCCCCAUCCCUCCUCCCAGCCCCAUGUAAAGCCACAUUUAACAUGAAAGGAUAAAGGAUAAUAGUGACCUGAUAGUGGAGGCUGCUAAGCACCCACAUAAAUCCAGCUAAUAAUGAGACAAUGAAAACAGAAGUUCUUCCUGGGAGCUGAGUGUGGGGGUUGGGCAAGCAUGUCGGCCACAGAGAUUAGCUGGUCCAGUCUGAGUGAGGAGACCAAUCACUGACCACGGAUCUCCCAUCUCCAACAGCUGCCUGAAUGCUUAGGCGUGCUCUAGGAGAUAAAUGUAAGACUGACGAUCAUAGAUAACAAAUUCAGGAUGUUAUGACAGCCAGCUGAGAACACACACAUGGGUCUUAGGACUGCUCAGCCACAGGGCCCUGUCUCAGUGCCAGCCCCUGUUGUCCCUUCUUCCUUGUUGUGGAGGCUGUAGCCUUCUUUCUCGCCUUCCGGUGCUGCCAUCUCACACUGUUGUCUCAGGCUCUGAAGACAAACCCACGACAAGGGAUUUUCCUCUUCAGAAGUUUUGUUGUUAAUCACUACCAGGAACUAAAUUAGCAUGAAAAACCAUGACAGAAAAAAAGGAAGCUACAGUGUUCUUACGGUAGACUAGUUUCCGACUUAGCAAAUGACAAGUGGCAAGUAAUUUUAGGAUUUCUCCCCUCUACUUUUAUUUCUCAAAUGGAGUGGAAGGGUGGAGUUUUCCUGCUGCCCUGCCCUCUUACUCCACAUUUAGAUAUAAAUGAAACCUGAAGAUAAAAUCCUGGUGUAAGAGUAGGUAUCUCUUUGGUACAAGUGGUCAUUUACAUUUUUAAGAACUCCUGGAACUUUUCCUUGUUCGGGCAGAAUCCUCUUGCAAAAGGGAGACCAAUAUAAUCUCAGCUAGAAGCUUCAGCAGAUUUGCAGGAAGAUUGUGAGGAUGGAAGAGCAACAAGAUAGAAGACUGGGACCUUGAGGACUGCCGCUGCCCCACUUACUUCCAGCAUAAUAUGCGUGAAAGAGAAGAACUUGCAUCUGAUUGAAUUGUCUCUUGUUUUUAGGUUUCUGUGUUUCAUACUAAACGGAUCCUUGGAAUCCAUUAAGCACUUGGAAGUGGGUACUGUACCUAACAAGAACUAAAGUCGGGGUACUGGCCUAGAAGCUGGGCAGCAGGUGGUAUAGACUCCAAAUUGCAGCCUGAUGAUUUGAUGGCAAACAUUUCCCUGCUUUGGCUUGGAAAAGAGACCAUGUGCUGACCGAGGCUGUAACUUUAGGGCCAAUGACAGGAAAGAUGAAUGAUUUCUGUGUGUAUUGGCUCUUUCUUGACACUUUCAGCAAAGCCUUCCAGGCUUAAGACAGGCAGUAUAGAAACAGACAGAAGGGCCUACAGUUUUGCUACAAGAGGCCUGCAGUCCAAGUUGAUAAUUUGGGCCCUUGCAGGGAUGAGAAGAGCAACAGCUUCUGCACCCCAGCUCAACCAGGUGUAAGCAGUGGCUGAAAACCUACAGCUUUGGCAGGAGAUAAAACUAGUGCCUCAUUAUACAAAAGCAUCGACCAGCUGGCAGAGAGUAGAUUAAGGGUUGUUUCUUCGCACUCAAGCCUGUUGUAAACAACUUCGAGGUAGCUGCCAUUAAGAUGAGAGAGAAACGGAUGGGCAGAAUACCACAACCGAUAAGUAAAAGACAAGUCUUCAGGCUUAAAAACAAAAAACUCAAUGUCUCGACAGGCUCUUUGGCUGUGAUUACAAGGACAGAGAAUUGACAGAAAGUAAAUAAAAAUGCCUUCCUAUUUGAAAGAAUUAUAUUGCCUGCAAGGAAGAACUUCUGAAAUAGCAAAGCUAGAGGCCAGGAGGACUGGAUUAGUCUUCUGGGGCUGCCAUCAAAAAAUACCACUGACUGGGGGGCUUAAACAACAGAAAUGUAUUUUCUCACAGUUCAGGAAGCUAGAAGUCCAGGGUGAAGAUGUCAGCACAUUUGGCUUCUCCUGAGGUCUCUCUCCUUGCUGUGUAGACAGCCACCUUCUCACUGUGUCCUCAUGUGGCCUUUCCUCUCAUGACUCUUUCUCUUUUCUUUCAAGGACUACCAUCAUAUUGGAUUAGGGCACCACCAUUUUGACCUCAUUUAACCUUAAUUACUUCCUUAAAGGCCCUAUCUCCAAAUGUAGUCACAUUGGGGGUUGGGGCUUCAACAUGUGAAAGACAGUAUGUCAACAUAUGAAGGACAGUAAGUGAAAGAGUUCAUCAUAGAGGGCAGACCCAAGGGCUGCCUGGUAGGCUAAUCAAGGAACUCCAUUCCCAGGCCAGGCAGCCUUUGCGAUUCCUGCCCAGCAGAGUUCAAUAAUUUCUAUGGACCAGUGCCGACGGGGUUGUGUGAAAGUUUCCUGUUUUCUCCUUAGUCAACUGGAAUUUUAGUUAAAGUUAUCCUAGUCCUGUUUUACCAUUAUAUAUUGAGUAAGAGUGAAGGGAUAGGGCAAAUAACUUUUAGUUUGUGGGUUUCUGGACUGUGAGUGGCUACAUCUUGCCAUGAUGGGGAUGAAUGAAUUGGCACCCAGAGAUUCUGGGCUUUGAGUUUAAUGCAGUAACCAGAUGACACUUUGGAGUUAUGUCUCAAAGGGAGGGGGUCUAUAUGUGGAAAGAAAGAGCAUGUGUGGAUGAGUGGACUGUGGCAAGGACUGCUACUUGUCUCCUGCUUUGUUUCUUGAAAUAAAGACUACAUUUCCCAGCA